GCUGCUCCUCUCUGCUUUAUGGUUGCAACAUAUUGAGGCGGAUUAAAACAAACAAGCUACAAUCAGUAUUCAGUUCUGCGUAUGAAUACUGUAGAAAUAAGGCAUUUUUAUACAGUUGUACUCAUCCACUAAGGAUAUAUUUACGUUUUUCUCGGCUGAAUAUCUGUCAAAAGUUCAACGUCAACCCGCAAGCCAAGUAUAUCAAGGGCAAACCCAGGAACAUGAUUGGACUUCUGCUUUUUCAAUUGCUUUUACAAGGUGUUCUGAUUUAUGAUGCUUUGGGAUGGGAAGUGACAAUGCCAAAGGAAAUUCACGGUCUCAGAGGUUCCCGUCUGGUCAUACCAUGUUCUUUCAGCUACACAUCAGACCCGCCCAAAGACCCAAGUAGAGUUGUGUGGUAUCAGUGGGUCUCUAAAGAGAGAAUCAGGUGAAUGCAGUCUGCUGAUUACCACACUGGAACAGUCCCACCAUGGAGAGAAAAUAUAUGCAUGGAUUGACCCUAAAAAUGUUGGAUGGCGCACCUACGCAUUUUAUGAUGUCACGUCUACAAUUUUUGUCGAUAAAAAGUCACAGGAGCCCAGCAUCAGUAUUUAUGGAGGUGAAAAGAUGGGUGACGCCAUCACGGUAGAAUGUUCAACUUUCCACACGUGUCCAUACAGAAAACCAGCAAUCACUCUGAGCGGUGUAGAAGGAACUGAUCAAACAAAGGAUGAACAUAUUAAAAACGGCCUGUGGAAAAGAACUCUGACACGCACAGGUGUCUUAAAGGCAGAAAGCGUGACUAUUCAUUGUUCAGUAACACAUUAUGGUGGCAUAACAGUGACAACUGAAGAAGUCAAAAUGUCAAAAUGUGGACUCCCAUACUGAUGUAAGGCCCAUUUUAAGUGAAAUGGCUGAGAAAUAGCAAAGGCCCCUGGAUCGCUCAACACGUUCUAAACUGCCAUCAGGCAGUGAAGCCACCAGAAGUCACAGCUAAAACAAUGACCUCAAAUCACCAGAUGUGAAGCAAAUCAGUCAAAGGGGAUUAGUUUUUAUGUUAUGUGAAUGUGAAUUAAUGUUUACUUCAGAUGUUAUGUGCAGUGUUCACGGUCUUUUGGGGCAAGAUAAGCGAUAUAUUUAAACCGUUUAGGUGGAUGUCUGCAGCGCAAUGACGACACAUGUAACAA
rnacentral:lncRNA from 1 species